GCCUGGGUGGCUCAGUCAGUUGAGCGUCCGACUUCAGCUCGGGUCAUGAUCUUGCAGCUCGUGAGUUCGAGCCCCACGUUGGGCU
rnacentral:tRNA from 1 species